rnacentral:rRNA from 1 species
AGGGUUUGAUCAUGGCUCAGGAUGAACGCUAGCGGCAGGCUUAACACAUGCAAGUCGAGGGGUAACAGAAAAAAGCUUGCUUUUUUGCUGACGACCGGCGCACGGGUGCGUAACGCGUAUGCAAUCUACCUUUUGCUAAGGGAUAGCCCAGAGAAAUUUGGAUUAAUACCUUAUAGUAUGGUGACUUGGCAUCAAGAUAUCAUUAAAGGUUACGGCAAAAGAUGAGCAUGCGUUCUAUUAGCUAGUUGGUGUGGUAACGGCAUACCAAGGCAGCGAUAGAUAGGGGUCCUGAGAGGGAGAUCCCCCACACUGGUACUGAGACACGGACCAGACUCCUACGGGAGGCAGCAGUGAGGAAUAUUGGACAAUGGAGGCAACUCUGAUCCAGCCAUGCCGCGUGCAGGAAGACUGCCCUAUGGGUUGUAAACUGCUUUUAUACAGGAAGAAACACCUCUACGUGUAGAGAUUUGACGGUACUGUAAGAAUAAGGAUCGGCUAACUCCGUGCCAGCCGCCGCGGUAAUAC